AGUUCGAUCAUGGCUCAGAUUGAACGCUGGCGGGAUGCUUUACACAUGCAAGUCGAACGGCAGCACGGACUUCGUCUGGUGGCGAGUGGCGAACGGGUGAGUAAUGUAUCGGAACGUGCCUAGUAGCGGGGGAUAGCUACGCGAAAGCGUAGCUAAUACCACAUACGCCCUUCGGGGAAAGCGGGGGACAACUGGACCUCGCACUAUUCCGGCAACCGAUAUCGGAUUAGCUAGUUGGUGGGGUAACGGCUCACCAAGGCGACGAUCCGUAGCUGGUUUGAGAGGACGACCAGCCACACUGGGACUGAGACCACGGCCCAGACUCCUACGAGGCAGCGUUGAAAUUUUGGACAAUGGAAACCUGAUCCAGCCAUCCCGCGUGUGCGAUGAAGGCCUUCGGGUUGUAAAGCACUUUUGGCAGGAAAGAAACGGCACGGGAUAAUACCCCGAUACAGCUGACUGGCCUGCAGAAUAAGCACCGGCUAACUACGUGCCAGCAGCCGCGGUAAUACGUAGGGUGCAAGCGUUAAUCGGAAUUACUGGGCGUAAAGCGUGCGCAGGCGGUUCCGGAAGAAAGAUGUGAAAUCCCCAGAGCUUAACUUUGGAACUGCAUUUUUAACUACCGAGCUAGAGUGUGUCAGAGGAGGUGGAAUUCCGCGUGUAGCAGUGAAAUGCGUAGAUAUGCGGAGGAGGAACACCGAUGGCGAAGGCAGCCUCCUGGGAUAACACUGACGCUCAUGCACGAAAGCGUGGGGAGCAAACAGGAUUAGAAACCACGGUAGUCCACGCCUAAACGAUGUCAACUAGCUGUUGGGGCCUUCGGGCCUUGGUAGCGCAACUAACGCGUGAAGUUGACCGCCUGGGAGAGUACGGUCGCAAGAUUAAAACUCAAAAGGAAUUGACGGGGACCGCACAAGCGGUGGAUGAUGUGGAUUAAUUCGAUGCAACGCGAAAAACCUUACCUACCCUUGACAUGUCUGGAAUCCCGAAGAGAUUUGGGAGUGCUCGCAAGAGAACCGGAACACAGGUGCUGCAUGGCUGUCGUCAGCUCGUGUCGUGAGAUGUUGGGUUAAGUCCCGCAACGAGCGCAACCCUUGUCGUGAGUUGCUACGAAAGGGCACUCUAAUGAGACUGCCGGUGACAAACCGGAGGAAGGUGGGGAUGACGUCAAGUCCUCAUGGCCCUUAUGGGUGAGGGCUUCACACGUCAUACGUGGUCGGGACAAAUGUCGCCAACCCCGCUGGGGGAGCCAAUCCCAGAAACCCGAUCGUAGUGGAUCACGAAGUCUGCAACUCGACUGCGUGAAGUCGGAAUCGCUAGUAAUCGCGGAUCAGCAUGUCGCGGUGAAUACGUUUUCCGGGUCUUACAUACACACCGCCCGUCACACCAUGGGAGUGGGUUUUACCAGAAGUAAUUUAGCUAACCGUAAGGAGGCGAUUACCACGGUAGGAUUCAUGACUGGGGUGAAGUCGUAACAAGGUAACUCUGUUACCUGAUCCCAG
rnacentral:rRNA from 1 species